rnacentral:tRNA from 1 species
ACUGCGGUAGUUUAGAGGUAGAAUAGAAGCCUGUGGAGCUUCGGACCCGAGUUCGAUUCUCGGCCGCGGUC